CUACCUUGCCAAGUAAGAUCUGAGCUCUACUCUCUUUGAAGUUGACUUCUGAGAGGAUUUUGGUACCAUUUAUGAAACUUAUAUAUUAAAAGACAAAUAAGGCAUUUGUGUAUAGCACUAUCUACCUAAUUAGUGUGAAGGCAGAAAUUGCUAAUCGGUUCAUCUUUGUAUUUCCCAAAAUACCUCCCACAAUUAUGCAGUAAAUGCUUAACAACUGUACAAGGAAGUAAAGGAAAUUUCAGCCACCGUGGGGUAAACAGCAAAGAUUACCAUCUCUUUGAAGGCAGAAACUUUAUCUGCGACAUCCUGUAUUAUGCCGGUAGCUCAUAAUUAUUGCUUUUCAAAACCCUGAUGUAGAUCUUACCAGCAGUUUCACAUUUUAAGCAGAGAAAACUCCAAAUCGGCAGAGCAAAGAAAGGACUGUGAACAAGACUGAUCAUUUAAAGGUCGUAAAGGGAGGUGUUAGGGAAAGGUGGAGGAAGGCGAAGAGAAGGCUAAGGAAGCCUAAGAACUGCGGCUGCAGAGUCACGGAAACACUUCGCUCCGCUCCAGGAUCACUGGCACAGGCCUUUGCCAGGGCGAACUCCGGGCAAGACCCGUGACCCCACCCCAGAAAACUCCCGACUCCCGGGCUGGAGAAGGUAGCCAAGAUCAUUCUCAGUUGCCAUAUGGCAAAGACACAGGAAGCUGCCCUGUGUAGAGACCCACAUGGCAAGGAACUGAGACAUCCUGCCAACAACCACCAGAGUCUGAGGCCUGCUGCCAUCACCACGUGAGUGAGACAUCUUAGAAGUGGAUCCUUCAGCCUAAGUCAAGCCUUCAGAUGAUUGCGUCUUGACUGCAGCCUCAUCAAAGACCUUGAACCAGAACCACCCAACUCAGUUACUCUCAAAUGCUUAACCCAUAGAAACUAUAGCGGUAAAAUAAGUGCUUAUUGUUUUAAGUCACUAAAUUUGGGAGAUAAUUUAUAUCUAUCCAGAAAUAGAUAACAAAUACACUAAUCCUGUUGUUCUCAACUUGGGACCAUUUCAUAUCCCAGGGGAUUUUGGCAAUGGCUUACGACAUUUUUCAUGGGGGUAGGUUGGAUGUUCCAUUGGCAUCUAGUGGGUAGAUGUGACAGAGGGUGCUAAACAUCCUACAGUGCACAAGACAGCCCCAUCACUCCACUCAAAAAACAAGGAAUGAUCAGGUCCAAAUGGCAUUAAUGCUGAAGCUGAGAAACUGCCCCAACCUAUUUUCCCUUGCACUUUAAAAGUUUCCUAUUUCACCUGUACUUGUGAAAGAGGUGGGGUUUGCUUCACUUCCAUUACUCAUUUGAAUGCUGCUUCACUUGUUUCUUUUUUUUUUUUCUCUUUUUCUACUUUUAUUUUAGGUUCAGGGAAUACCUGUGCAGGUUUGUUGCAUGUGUAAAUUGCGUGUCACUGAGGCUUGGUGUACAAAUGAUCCUAUCACCCAAGUGCUUGUUACUUAGCCCUCUUUAGUAUUCUCCUCAUUCUCAUGCUCCCCUUCUGGUCAAAGCCCAAAACUCAGAUAGCAUAGAGAGCAGUGCCCCUUAGGACAAUCUGCACUUCCUUAAGAAUUCCUUUGAAGGAGUGAAAUACCAACAUGAGGCAGUCCUCUCCUCUUCUGAUGUUCCCCUCUCCUGUUUACCUUCCUAUAAGUACCGAACAAAGUAAGUAGGUAUAUCAGUCUUAAGGGCUUCCCAUGCCAUAAGAUAUAACUUAAAGCAGUUAUAUCUUAUGAAGGAAAUUAUUUCUUGUGAUGGUCUUUUUUAAAAACUAUUUUUAGUAAAGACAGGGUUUCACCAAGUUGACCAGGCUGCUCUUGAACUCCUGACCUCAGGUGAUCUGCCCACCUUGGCCUCCCAAAGUGCUGGGAUUACAGGAGUGAGCCACCGCACCUGGCCUUUACUGAUACUCUUUGUUUUUAUUUUUAAAAUAUUUUUAUAGACACAGGGUCUCACUAUUUUGCCCAGGCUGGUCUUGAACUUCAGGCCUUCCUGCCUUGGCCUCCCAAAACACUGGCAUUUACAGGUAUGAGCCACCAUGCCUAGACUUUUUAUUUUUAUUUUUGCAAUACUCUUUUUUAAUUGACCUGAAUGAGGUAUUGUUUAUAUACACUAAACUAACCUCAUUUUAAUGGUACAGUUCAAUAAAUUUUAACAAAUGAAUACACCAGUGUAACUAUUACCACAAUCAUGAUACAGAACAUUUCCAACACGGCAAAAAGUAUUCUCAAGCCCUUCCUCCCCCCAACUACUUCUGGUCCUAGGUAACUACUUGUUUGCAUUCUGUCACUGUAGAAUAAUUCUACUUUUUACAUAAUUUCAUUUUUUAUUUUUGAGACAGGGUCUCACUCUGUCACCCAGACUGGAGUGCCAUGGCAUUGACACAGCUCACAGCAGCUUCAAUCUCCUGGGCUCAAGGGAUUCUCCCGCUUCAGCCCCUUGAGAAACUGGGACUACAGGCAUGUACCACAGGGCCCAGCUAAUUCUUUAACUUUUUGUUGAGAUGGGGUCUUGCCGUGUUGCCCAGGUUUGUCUCAAAUUCCUGGCCUCAGGCAAUCCUUCUGCCUCAGCCUCCCAAAGUGCUGGGAGUACAGGUGGGAGCCACUGCAUCUCGGCCCACUUUUUCAAGAAUUUGAUAUAAGUGGUAUCAUCCAGUAUAUACUCUGUUGUAUGUGGUUUCAGCUCAGCAUGUUUCAGAGAUGCAUUUGUAAUAUUCUGUGCAGUAGUUAUUUCUUCUUUUCUAGUGGAGUAGUGAUCCCUUGUAUGGAUUUGCUACAAUUUGUUUAUUUUUGUCCUAUUCAUAGAUAAUUGGUUUGUUUCCAGUUUUUGGCUACUAUGACUAAAGAUUCUAUGAACAUUUGGUUAAAAGUAUUUUUCUUGGAUAAAUAAUGCCUAAGAGUAAAACAGCUAGGUCAUAUUGUCAUAUAUCUAACUUUAUGAUAAAUUGCCAAACUGUUUUCCAAAGUGGUUGUACCAUUUCCAUUUCCACCAGUAAUAUAUGAGAGUUCCAGUUGCUUCAUUUCUUCUCCAAUGUUUGGUAAUCCUUCUAAUUUUCAAUUAUUGUAUUUAAAUUUGCAUUUUCCUAAUAACUAAUCAUGUUGAGUAUCUUUUCCUGUCCUUAAGGGGCAUGUGUGUAUUUGAACAGAAGUAUCUGUUCAAACCUUUUGUCUACUUCAAAUUGGUUUUUUCCUCUUAUUACUGGGGUGUGUAUAUUCUGUCUUUUAUACUAUCCUUUGUCAGAUAUUGGUGUUGUGAAUAUUUUCUCCCAGAUUAUGGCUUGCUAUGGCAGUCAGCCCCCAAGAUGGACCCCAUUGAUUCUGGACUCCUGGUGCCAAAACCAUUGUACCCAGAUCAACUGCAAACAAGAACAGAGUUUUAAUGGAAAUUUUAAACAAGUAAGAUGAAAAUCCUGAAGCAUUUCUUUCAAGAAUUGUAACAGGAGAUGAAACAUGGCUUUACCAGUAUAAUCCCGAAGACAAAGUACAAUCAGAGCAAUGGCUACCAAGAGGUGGAAGUGGUCCAGUCAAAGCAAAAGCAGACCUGCCAAGAGCAAAGGUCGUGGGAAUAGUUUUUUGGGAUACUUAUUUUGCUUGUUGACUUUCUGAAGAGCCAAAGAACAAUAAUAUCUGCUUGUUUCAAGAGUGUUUUGAGAAAGUUUGCUAAAGCUUUAGCAGAAAAAUUCCUGGAAAAGCUUCACCAGUCUUUUUCUACCGCAACAAUGCUCCCACUCAUUCUUCUCAUCAAACAAGGGCAAUUUUACAAGACUUUCAAUGAGAAAUCAUUAGGCAUCGACCUUACAGUCCUAAUUUGGCUCUUUCUAACUUCUUUUUGUUUCCUAAUCUUAAAAAAUCUGCAAAGGGCUCCCAUUUUUCGUCAUUUAAUCAUGUAAAAAAGACAUGGUUAAAUUUCCAUGAAUCUCAAUUUUUUUAGGGAUGGAUUAAAUGACUGGUGUCAUCACUUACAACCAUGGUUGACCUCGAUGGAGCUUAUGUUGAGAAAUAAAGUUUAUAUUCUUUAUCUUUUAAUUCAAUUUUUCCAUGAACAUUUUGAAGUGCCUCAUAUUAUAAAUGAUAUUUCAUUGUUAGUGGUUCAUUAAUAGGGUAUUUAAAUACAAUUCUUUUUUAAUAUUAGUCCUGUACACUGAGAUCAUGUUUAAAAACCUAUUAGUUCUAGUAGUAUUUUAUAGAUUUCUUUUGAUUUUCUAUGUAUACAAUCAUGUUUCUCCAAAUAAAGAGUUUUAUUUUUUUCCUUCCA
rnacentral:lncRNA from 1 species